AUUGAACGCUGGCGGCAGGCCUAACACAUGCAAGUCGAGCGGAGCGGCGAACGGGUGAGUAACGCGUGAGUAACUGCCCCCCUCCCUGGGAUAACAGUUGGAAACGGCUGCUAAUACCGGAUAGUGGGGGAUGACUCGCGUCCUAUCAGCUUGUUGGUGGGGUAGUGGCAUACCAAGGCGACGACGGGUAGCCGGCCUGAGAGGGGGACCGGCCACAUUGGGCUGAGAUACGGCCCAAACUGCAACGGGAGGCAGCAGGGGGGAAUAUUGCACAAUGGGGGAAACCCUGAUGCAGCAACGCCGGGUGGGGUAUGACGGCCUUCGGGUUGUAAACCGCUUUCAGCCAUUACGCGGUAGUGGAAGAAGAAGCACCGGCUAACUACGUGCCAGCAGCCGCGGUAAUAC
rnacentral:rRNA from 1 species